rnacentral:rRNA from 1 species
AUUGAACGCUGGCGGCAUGCCUUACACAUGCCAGUCGAACGGUAACGGGCCUUCGGGUGCCGACGAGUGGCGCACGGGUGAGUAAUACAUCGGAACGUGCCCGAUCGUGGGGGAUAACGAGGCGAAAGCUUUGCUAAUACCGCAUACGAUCUACGGAUGAAAGCAGGGGACCGCAAGGCCUUGCGCGGACGGAGCGGCCGAUGGCAGAUUAGGUAGUUGGUGGGAUAAAAGCUUACCAAGCCGACGAUCUGUAGCCGGUCUGAGAGGAUGAUCAGCCACACUGGGACUGAGACACGGCCCAGACUCCUACGGGAGGCAGCAGUGGGGAAUUUUGGACAAUGGGCGCAAGCCUGAUCCAGCCAUGCCGCGUGCAGGAUGAAGGCCUUCGGGUUGUAAACUGCUUUUGUACGGAACGAAAAGCCUUCUUUUAAUACAGGAGGGUCAUGACGGUACCGUAAGAAUAAGCACCGGCUAACUACGUG